AUGAACUCUUCUCCAGGCUUAGUGACUGUGAUGCUCUUACUGCUUGGAAGAACCCAUGGAGACUCAGUGACCCAGAGAGGAGGUAAAGUGAUCCUCUCAAAAGGGGAUUUCCUGACAAUAAACUGCACUUAUACAGCCUCAGGAUACCCUACCCUUUACUGGUACAUUCAGUAUCCUGGUGAAGGUCCUCAGGUCCUCCUGAAGGCUGCAAAGGCUGAUGAUAAAGGAAUCAACAGAGGUUUUGAAGCAAGGUAUCAUUAA